rnacentral:rRNA from 1 species
GGAGUUAGCCGGUGCUUCUUCUGUGAGUGAUGUCCUUCCUGCCGGCUAUUAACCCGCAGUCCUUCUUCCUCACUGAAAGUGCUUUACAACCCGAAGGCCUUCUUCACACACGCGGCAUGGCUGGAUCAGGGUUGCCCCCAUUGUCCAAUAUUCCCCACUGCUGCCUCCCGUAGGAGUCUGGGCCGUGUCUCAGUCCCAGUGUGGCUGAUCAUCCUCUCAGACCAGCUACGGAUCGUCGCCUUGGUGAGCCGUUACCUCACCAACCAGCUAAUCCGACAUAGGCUCAUCCGAUAGCGCGAGGCCCGAAGGUCCCCCGCUUUCCCCCGUAGGGCGUAUGCGGUAUUAGCCUGGGUUUCCCCAGGUUAUCCCCCACUACCGGGCAGAUUCCUAUGCAUUACUCACCCGUCCGCCGCUCGCCACCAGGGAGCAAGCUCCCCGUGCUGCCGCUCGACUUGCAUGUGUAGCNCGCCGCCACGCGUCAUCUGAGACAUAAUACAACUACUAGA